CAUGCGGUUCGUCCCUUUUUCCUCUAAAAGUUAUUUUUCCUUUGUAUUAACCCUUAAAAAGCUGAAGGGAGAGGGGGAGGGAGAGAGAGAGAGAGAGAUCCUUCCGUGUCUCAAUGGAGUUUUCUGAAUAGUCUCUCUCUGUUUUUUUUUUUUUUUGAGUUUCAAGAAAGAUCGUAUUACGGCCAGAAAGGUGUACCAUGAUCAUGAUUUGGGAUGUCUUCUGCUGGAAAGAGAAAUGGUUGGAUCAGACGAGAACAAUUCGGGCGUGAUCGGACUCUCAAAUCUUCAAGAAGUUGGAUUUCGUGCUGGAGGUGGAAAAUGGGGUUUGGGCGUUGGACACAACCGGCGAGCGCUGAGCAGCAUUGACCGGAAUAUAGUAGGAGCGCCUUCUUAUCCUUGUGCUGUCAACAAAAAUGUCUUUUCAGAGUAGGUUCUCAUUCCCUAAUGCAUUUAUGGUUGCUGUAAACUCGAAUAAAUGUCGUCUUUUGGUUACUUUACAUGGUCGAUCAAUUCAAUUUAAGUAGGUAUUAGAUGGAGGGGUGUCCACGUGGGGUUGACCCCCUACUGCUUGUAACGUAUGGCUUGCGUUAUUGUCGUUUCACAACACAAUUGAAGGCUGGCCAGCCGUGCAGAAGAGGAC